AUGGGGCUUGGGCUCAUCUGGGUUUUCCUUGUUGCUGUUUUAAGAGGUGUCCAGGGUGAGGUGCAGCUGGUGGAGUCUGGGGGAGGCGUGGUGAAGCCUGGGGGGUCUCUGAGAUUCUCCUGUGCAGCCUCUGGAUUCACCUUCAGUAGCUACUGGAUGCACUGGGUCCGCCAGGCUCCAGGGAAGGGGCUGGAGUGGAUGGGGAGGAUUUACCCUAACGAUGGAGAUACAAAUUACGCCCAGAAGUUCCAGGGCAGAGUCUCCAUGACGGCAGACACAUCGACCAGCACAGCCUUCAUGGAGCUGAGCCGACUGAGCACCGAGGACUCGGCCGUGUAUUACUGUGCGAGAGACACAGUGACGGGAACUCAGUGUGGCCUGUGCCAGGUCCAGCUGGUGGAGUCUGGGGGAGGCUUGGUGCAUCCCAGGGGGUCUCUGAACCUCUCCUGCAAAGCCUCUGAAUUCACCUUCACAAACUACAGCAUGAACUGGGUCCGCCAGGCUCCAGGGAAGGGGCCGGAAUGGGUGGCAACUGGAAAAAUCAGUG